rnacentral:rRNA from 1 species
AUUGAACGCUGGCGGCAGGCCUAACACAUGCAAGUCGAGCGAGCGGCGGACGGGUGAGUAAUGUCUGGGAAACUGCCUGAUGGAGGGGGCUAACUACUGGAAACGGUAGCUAAUACCGCAUACCAUCAGAUGUGCCAAGAUGGGAUUAGCUAGUAGGUGGGGUAACGGCUGACCCAGGCGACGAUCCCUAGCUGGUCUGAGAGGAUGACCAGCCACACUGGAACUGAGACACGGUGCAGACUCCAACGGUAGGCAGAAGUGGGGAAUAUUGAACAAUGGGCGCAAGCCUGAUGCAGCCAUGCCGCGUGUGUGAAGAAGGCCUUCGGAUUGUAAAGUACUUUCAGCGGGGAGGCGUUACCCGCAGAAGAAGCACCGGCUAACUCCGUGCCAGCAGCCGCGGUAAUUC